GUUGGUGGUGGUAGUAGGAGCUGCUGCUCGGCGAGUGCAUCGCCGAGGACGUCAUGGCGUUGAAGGAGAACACGAACUCCUUUCGGUCGCACAUGCUCGGGGACUGGGAAUGGUACCGAGGAAUACCUGCGAGGAAAAGGGGACGCAGGAGGAGUGAGGUGGAAGCUCUGCCGAGCUGUGAGCGCAGAAACUCGGACGGGGACUCGAGGAUCGACUCCUGCGGGGAAAAGUUUUGCCAUCGAGUGGUUCAGAAAUGAAGGCCCGAGUGGGCAGGCGUGCGGCUUUGGCCACAGGAAGCCGUGAAUUCUGCGGAGAAUGGAAGAUGUCUUAUGGGGAGACAUACUGCCCCCCCACCCCCCCCCCACCCCACCCCACCCCGCCCACUCGCCACCCGAACAUGACACCUGACCCCUUCGUGUGUUUACAUCAGACCGUGGAAGUGAGAAAUAGUGAUGAGUCACUCCGGCUGUGUGUUUACACUCCAGAGUCACGCAAGGAAGGAAAUCAGCCACGGUCUGCUAAAAGUGGCGAGGUGAGAGAGAAUAGCUGCAGUCCCCCAGAGCUGCAGUGAUUUAGCUCCGAGAGCCAGAACUUGUUUCACGUCAUCGCUGCUGCAAAGACCUCCGACCAACAGAGAACGGCAACAUUAGUGGCACGGCAGAGUGUUGUCGGGGAAAAGGCAACCGAGGGGUCAGAACGAGAGGUAAAAAUUGAUGCAACAAGCAGGAACAAUUAUUAAGAGAGAUUGUGUAAAUUCAGUUAUUGAAAGUUUUGUCAGACACAUUGUUGAUCUCAUCCAGAGGCAGGUAAAACCCACAUGGCACGGUCAUUACAUGGACAUUUUCACCCUCACUUAUAACACGUUUUUCUUCAACUUAGGAAAAAAAAAACCUUUUCACUCUGUAAUACAUCUUGAAAAGUUCUCACAAUCAAUUUUUCUCAAAGCCACAAUGAGAGCAUCUUAUUGUUGAAUUUAAUUAAAAAGAUAAAAAUCAACAAAAUAGGAUUUUAAACCCAGAAUCCAAAAAUGUUGUGAGGCUGUGCAGAACACAAAUAAAACUGAUAUUGACAUUUACUCAUUUAUAAACAGAUAUUACCAAGAUAAUAUAUUUAAUAUGUUUUACCUCAUUAACUUCAUUGAUUUUUGUAAUAUCUGCUCUGAACUUGAUACCACUGGGACAUUCCACAGGUAAACAUGUUUAUUUGGAACAGGUGAUAGAAUUAUGAUUGGGUAUCAAUAGAAUUAUGAUUGGGUAUCAAUAGAAUUAUGAUUGGGAAUCAAUAGAAUUAUGAUUGGGUAUCAAAGGGAUGUCCUAAGCAAACAAGGGUGGGGCGAGGUUCACCACUCUGCGAAACACACGACUGUCCAAAGGAUAUUUACCAUGUGGGUUUGGGAACAGUUCAUAAAACUGUUGCCUGUGAAAACAGUCCAUUUGCAGAUUAUUGUAUUGUGUUUUAUUUAUUCACAUCAUACACAGAGAGUCCCAACUCUUUUGGUGGUUGCACUGAGCAGUGAUGUCAGAUUGAAUGGAGAUCAACAAAAAUUAUCCAAGUUUCAGAUUUUUGUUUUGUUUUAAAUGAUCAUUAAUACGCUUUAUUGAUAUAACAAUAUAAAAGGCUUGGAAAACAAAAUGUCUAGUUAUGAGUCCCUGCAAAGGAAAAUAAAAUAAAUAUAUAAUUGAAGUGCCACACUUCACACCAACCUUAGGAACUAUUAUGCAGCACUUUGUUGUAUCUUUCUUCAUACUUACUUUCUGUCAUUUUGUAUAAAGUUGCACUAAGGUUAGAAAAAAGUUGAUUUUAAUACAAGUGCAUGUUUAAUUGUGUUGUAAUCAUUUAUAUUUAUUUAAGUGACAGGCAGAUUUUAUGAAAUCAAGUCAGAAAGUGUCACCUCUAAUGGCUCCAGUGAUAUUUGUGAACAGAAUUUCAUAAAAAUAGCAAAUACAUUAAAGUUUAUACAAAUCCAACACUCCUAUGACAUUUUAAUGACUUAGACUAAAACAGGCAAGAAUAACAGGUUUCUGUACACUUUAUGCCCUUUAAUGAGAAUUAAAUUCAUUAAUUCACUGUAUUGUAUUUUAAAAUGUGUUGGAGUGUAUAAAUGAUCUCACACGCGUUGCACUGGGUUGCUCUGGACGACUCUGCGUCCGCUGCGCUCUGAGGUGUGUUUACUGUGGCGAGGGCCAGUGUUUCAAACACACUGUCACCGCCGUCCUCCACACUGAGCGACUUUGGAUUUCAGAUUGCGCAACUGUUGUUUUCCAGAGAUGGCUGUAGUUACUGCAGCGGUGCUGUGUAAAUAAAAGUGACACUCUAUUUCUUUCCAUCACUACACCGGUGCGAGUAACUUCAUUGCUGACUGUAGCGAGUAUCCAGUUACACGCCCCCAUACACACCGCCACAAUGAGAGAGUCAGUGGCUCUUAUUUUGGCUGAUCUCUCCUGAAUUGUAAGUCCUGUCAGAGGCUUUGAUUGAUAGUUGUGUUUAUCACCAUAUUAUUAAGUAAUCAGGCUCCACCACAGCUGGGCCCGAAGCUCCUUAAUUCCAGCUAAAGCACACGGCUUCAUGCUAAUUAAAGGUUUGGCCGGAGUGUUUAUUUUUGUGAAUUUUUUAAAAUAUAGUUGUCUGUGUUUUUACGAGAGUGCGCUGAUUGUUGCAUUUGCAUCCUCUCUGGGACAUUUAGCAUCAACCUUUAGUGUUGCGUUCUCAUCAGGAAGAUCAUGAUUAUUCAUGAUGACAGUGGGGGGAAACUCGUGCUGAAUAAACUGCGUGUGGAGUGGAAAAAUUUGAGCUUUUUUUUUGUAAUGCUGUUUCACAUUACUGUAAAAACUGCAAAAUGACAAAUAAGGUGCACGCUCUUCAGUGAUCCUCAUACAUAACACGAGAGGGUCAAUCAGUCUACGUUCUGUACAUCGGCAGAGGUUUCCUCUCGCUCCGUUAAUAGAGCCCGCGGCAGGCUGCGUUUGUGUAUUCCUGAGGUAAACACAGUCAUGGCAAAGUGGACAUGCUGCUGAGUGUGUCCUGACUGGAGACAGAGAGCACCGUGGCACUGUAUGACUGAGACACUGGCAGCUCUCUAGAGCUUGGGUUAAUGUGAUGAAUGGCCAUUUGGUAAUGGGCCAUGUAUUAGGGCGAAAUAGCUCUUUUAAAAGCCCGAGCCGGAGCCGUUGCUAUGGACAAUUUGAUUCAGGAAUCAAUCAGGUGGCAGAUGUUUCAUGUUGGAUUAGUCAACUCAGUCUCGGUCUCUCUCUCAGCCAAAUGAAGGAGGAACUGCUUGAGUGACUGCGCGCAGUCAAAAACACAUCAGUGAUGGCAUGUUGUUUAAAAAAAAGGA